UACGGAGGAUGCAAGCGUUAUCCGGAUUCAUUGGGUUUAAAGGGUGCGCAGGCGGAAGAUUAAGUCGGUGGUGAAAUUUUGCAGCUCAACUGUAAAAGUGCCAUUGAUACUGGUUUUCUUGAGUGUGGAUGAAGUAGGCGGAAUUUGUGGUGUAGCGGUGAAAUGCAUAGAUAUCACGAGGAACUCCGAUUGCGCAGGCAGCUUACUAAACCAUAACUGACGCUUAGGCACGAAGGCGUGGGGAUCAAACAGGAUUAGAUA
rnacentral:rRNA from 1 species